rnacentral:misc_RNA from 1 species
AAAACAGUAUAUGAGAGAGCUUUACAAUGAACAGUUACCAAAGAAACAAUAUCUCAACCAAGCCUGAGAUUCCCCCUCUAAUCUUUGAACCUGUCAGUCCUAUGAAGUCCAGGCUUGUACAGCUGUGUGACCAUUUUCUCGUCUCUCCUAGUAUUUCAACUCGAAGAAGAAAAGAUCUUAUAUGCAAUGAGGAUCCCAAAAGAAAAGAGGAUUCAUAGCACUGCUGUACGAGGCUCCUAGCAUGGUGA